AUAUUUAUUGGUACUCUCAAACUCCAACAAUUGUGCUUUGGUCUUAUUGAUCCUAUCAUAUCUUUGUUGUCAUGUCAUCAGUCCCUGUCCUUAUAUUAGAACCUGACUUUUAGAGGGGUCAGAAAAUGCUCACCUGAAGUCUGUUUCUCAGCACCACUUGCAGGUAUGUCUUAUAAACAUCAUUAUAGGCCUAAUCUAGAAGAAACUCCCAUGCAUGAUUCUUGAUGAUUUUUCCCCAUCUGCUUGCUGGAUAUCACUGCCCAGGAAACCAUGG